rnacentral:rRNA from 1 species
UACGUAGGGUGCAAGCGUUAAUCGGAAUUACUGGGCGUAAAGCGUGCGCAGGCGGUUUUGUAAGUCUGUCGUGAAAUCCCCCGGGCUCAACCUGGGAAUUGCGAUGGAGACUGCAAGGCUAGAAUCUGGCAGAGGGGGGUAGAAUUCCACGUGUAGCAGUGAAAUGCGUAGAGAUGCGGAGGAACACCGGUGGCGAAGGCGGCGAUCUGGGGAAGAUACUGACGCUGAGGUGCGAAAGCGUGGGGAGCAAACAGGG